rnacentral:tRNA from 1 species
ACUGAGUAUAUAAAUAGUAUAAAAAUAGACUGAAGAUCUAAAUGUCCCCGGUUCGAUCCCGGGUUCCGGUA